UCAAUUUGUAACUGUUUUCUC
rnacentral:piRNA from 1 species